rnacentral:rRNA from 1 species
CUAAGCCAUGCGAGUCAAAUGUUCUUCGUGAACAUGGCGUACUGCUCAGUAACACGUGGAUAACCUGCCCUUAGGACUGGCAUAACCCCGGGAAACUGGGGAUAAUUCCGGAUAGUUCAUGGUAGCUGGAAUGCUCCAUGAUCGAAAGCUAUUGCGCCUAAGGAUGGGUCUGCGGUCUAUCAGGUAGUAGUGGGUGUAAUGUACCUACUAGCCGACGACGGAUACGGGUUGUGGGAGCAAGAGCCCGGAGAUGGAUUCUGAGACAUGAAUCCAGGCCCUACGGGGCGCAGCAGGCGCGAAAACUUUACAAUGCGGGAAACCGCGAUAAGGGGACACCGAGUGCCAGCAUCUUAUGUUGGCUGUCCGCAUGUAUAAAUCACAUGUGUUAGCAAGGGCCGGGCAAGACCGGUGCCAGCCGCCGCGGUAACACCGGCGGCCCGAGUGGUGGCCACUAUUAUUGGGUCUAAAGGGUCCGUAGCCGGUUUGGUCAGUCUUCCGGGAAAUCUGACGGCUUAACCGUUAGGCUUUCGGGGGAUACUACCAGGCUUGGGACCGGGAGAGGUAAGAGGUACUACGGGGGUAGGAGUGAAAUCUUGUAAUCCUCGUGGGACCACCAGUGGCGAAGGCGUCUUACCAGAACGGGUCCGACGGUGAGGGACGAAAGCUGGGGGCACGAACCGGAUUAGAUACCCGGGUAGUCCCAGCCGUAAACUAUGCUCGCUAGGUGUCAGGGACGGUGCGACCGUUUCUGGUGCCGCAGGGAAGCCGUGAAGCGAGCCACCUGGGAAGUACGGUCGCAAGGCUGAAACUUAAAGGAAUUGGCGGGGGAGCACUAUAACGGGUGGAGCCUGCGGUUUAAUUGGACUCAACGCCGGAAAACUCACCGGGGGCGACAGCAAUAUGUAGGUCAAGCUAAAGACACUAGCUA